rnacentral:tRNA from 1 species
UCCCUAGUGGAUCAGCUGGUAAAGAAUCUGCCUGCAAUGCAGGAGACCUGGGUUCGAUCCCCAGGUUGGGAA